rnacentral:rRNA from 1 species
UCAAGCGAAUAAGCGCACACGGUGGAUGCCUUGGCGGUCAGAGGCGAUGAAGGACGUGGCAGCCUGCGAAAAGUAUCGGGGAGCUGGCAACAAGCUUUGAUCCGGUAAUGUCCGAAUGGGGAAACCCACCCGCUUGCGGGUAUCCUGCAGUGAAUACAUAGCUGCUGGAAGCGAACCUGGUGAACUGAAAUAUCUAAGUAACCAGAGGAAAAGAAAUCAACCGAGAUUCCGUAAGUAGCGACGAGCGAACGCGGACUAGCCCUUAAGCUGAUUUGGUUCUAGGAAAACGCUCUGGAAAGAGUGGCCAUAGAAGGUGAUAGCCCUGUAUCUGAAAGGGCCAUUCCAGUGAAGACGAGUAGGGCGGGGCACGUGAAACCCUGUCUGAACAUGGGGGGACCAUCCUCCAAGGCUAAAUACUACUGACCGACCGAUAGUGAACCAGUACCGUGAGGGAAAGGCGAAAAGAACCCCGGAGAGGGGAGUGAAAUAGAACCUGAAACCGUGUGCGUACAAGCAGUAGGAGCUCCGCAAGGAGUGACUGCGUACCUUUUGUAUAAUGGGUCAGCGACUUACUGUUCGUGGCAAGCUUAACCGUAUAGGGGAGGCGAAGGGAAACCGAGUCUGAUAAGGGCGCAUAGUCGCGGGCAGUAGACCCGAAACCGGGUGAUCUAGUCAUGCCCAGGGUGAAGGUGCGGUAACACGCACUGGAGGCCCGAACCCACUCCCGUUGCAAAGGUAGGGGAUGAGGUGUGAUUAGGAGUGAAAAGCUAAUCGAACCCGGAGAUAGCUGGUUCUCCUCGAAAGCUAUUUAGGUAGCGCCUCAUAUGUAUCCUCUCGGGGGUAGAGCACUGUUAUGGCUAGGGGGUCAUCGCGACUUACCAAACCAUUGCAAACUCCGAAUACCGAGACGGACUGUAUGGGAGACACACGGCGGGUGCUAACGUCCGUCGUGAAAAGGGAAACAACCCAGACCCACAGCUAAGGUCCCAAAUUUUGUGCUAAGUGGAAAACCAUGUGGAAAGGCACAGACAGCCAGGAGGUUGGCUUAGAAGCAGCCACCCUUUAAAGAAAGCGUAAUAGCUCACUGGUCGAGUCGGUCUGCGGGGAAGAUUUAACGGGGCUAAGCACAGAACCGAAGCUUGGGGUGCAUAACUUUGUUAUGCGCGGUAGAGGAGCGUUCCGUAAGCCGUUGAAGGUGGAUUGAGAAGUCUGCUGGAGGUAUCGGAAGUGCGAAUGCUGACAUGAGUAACGAUAAUGCGGGUGAAAAACCCGCACGCCGAAAGCCCAAGGUUUCCUUGCGCAACGUUAAUCGGCGCAGGGUGAGUCGGCCCCUAAGGCGAGGACGAAAGUCGUAGUCGAUGGGAAGCAGGUUAAUAUUCCUGCACCUCGCGUAAGUGCGAUGGAGGGACGGAGAAGGUUAGGUGUACCAGGCGUUGGUUGUCCUGGGGAAAGGCGGUAGGUUUGGAUCUUUGGCAAAUCCGGGAUCCUUUAAGACCGAGCACCGAGACGAGCCUUUAUGGCGAAGUCACUGAUACCACGCUUCCAGGAAAAGCUCCUAAGCUUCAGCUUACGCAGACCGUACCGUAAACCGACACAGGUGGGUAGGAUGAGAAUUCUCAGGCGCUUGAGAGAACUCGGGUGAAGGAACUAGGCAACAUGGCACCGUAACUUCGGGAGAAGGUGCACCCUUUUUGGUGGCUCGUGCGAGCUAUAGCUGAAGAGGGUCGCAGUAACCAGGCCGCUGCGACUGUUUAUCAAAAACACAGCACUCUGCAAACACGAAAGUGGACGUAUAGGGUGUGACGCCUGCCCGGUGCUGGAAGGUUAAUUGAUGGGGUCAGCCGCAAGGCGAAGCUCUUGAUCGAAGCCCCAGUAAACGGCGGCCGUAACUAUAACGGUCCUAAGGUAGCGAAAUUCCUUGUCGGGUAAGUUCCGACCUGCACGAAUGGCGUAACGACAGCGGCGCUGUCUCCACCCGAGACUCAGUGAAAUUGAAAUCGCUGUGAAGAUGCAGCGUUCCCGUGGCAAGACGGAAAGACCCCGUGAACCUUUACUAUAGCUUUACACUGAACGUUGAGUUCGUCUGUGUAGGAUAGGUGGGAGGCUAUGAAACCAUGGCGCUAGCUGUGGCGGAGCCAUCCUUGAAAUACCACCCUGUCGUGCUUGACGUUCUAACCUGGGCCCAUUAUCUGGGUCGGGGACCGUGUAUGGUGGGUAGUUUGACUGGGGCGGUCUCCUCCUAAAGAGUAACGGAGGAGCUCGAAGGUACGCUCAGCGCGGUCGGACAUCGCGCACUGUGUGCAAAGGCAUAAGCGUGCUUGACUGCAAGAUCGACGGAUCAAGCAGGUAGGAAACUAGGACUUAGUGAUCCGGUGGUUCUGUAUGGAAGGGCCAUCGCUCAACGGAUAAAAGGUACUCCGGGGAUAACAGGCUGAUACCGCCCAAGAGUUCAUAUCGACGGCGGUGUUUGGCACCUCGAUGUCGGCUCAUCACAUCCUGGGGCUGUAGUCGGUCCCAAGGGUAUGGCUGUUCGCCAUUUAAAGUGGUACGCGAGCUGGGUUCAGAACGUCGUGAGACAGUUCGGUCCCUAUCUGCCAUGGGCGUUGGAGAUUUGAGAGGGGCUGCUCCUAGUACGAGAGGACCGGAGUGGACGAACCUCUGGUGUUCCGGUUGUCACGCCAGUGGCAUUGCCGGGUAGCUAUGUUCGGAAGCGAUAACCGCUGAAAGCAUCUAAGCGGGAAGCGCGCCUCAAGAUGAGAUCUCCCGGGGCACAAGCCCCCUGAAGGAACCAUGUAGACUACGUGGUUGAUAGGUCAGGUGUGUAAGUACAGCAAUGUAUUGAGCUAACUGAUACUAAUGAUCCGUGCGGCUUGACCAU